CCAAUAACAAAGGCAACAACCAGUCCGGGUGAAUUGUCAGAGAUCAUUGCCCCUAUAUGAUCAACUAAUAACCUCCAACACAGUUGUGUGCAGCAACCAUUUCCUGAAGGAUGACUUCAAGUGGACACCAAACCGAACGACAUUGAAGCGGGGUGCGGUUCCCUCGGUGUUUCAGUGGACCGUGGACAGUGGGGCUACUGGCUGGAACUGGAAGCUAACCUCAAGGAGACACUCUUGUCAUAGAGAUGAUGCUGAUCAAGAGUCUGAGAACAUUUCAUCGGGUGACGAAGCUCCCACAAGUCAUCCGUCGCCAUCUCAGAUACAGUAAGAAUG